UCGUCAAACUUUUAUGACCCCCUCCCCCACCCGGUGACAGUUGCUAUCUGACAGGUCGUUUUUAUGACCCUUUGACAGGGGGGCGGGACCAUCAAUCAAAAUCUGGACAAGCUGUCAACUUUAGACAGAAAGUAUUUAAUGGUUUUAUUGCCGGUCAUUUAGAGUGAUUGUUUUUCCUGAGUGUGUUUUAUGUCACGCGUAUGCAGUCAUGUUUAAGGACGGCUCGUGUUUCGACAUUUACUGUUUAUUGACAUUUGAUGUCAGACCUCAACCAUCCUCCCACCUUUGCUCGCCCCGUGCGCUUCUCAAUACUGACUUUCACACCGCGGGUGUGUUGUUGAAUCUAAAGUUUUGCAACAGCAUAAGUUUAUUUAAAGGCAAUCACUAAUCAUAUAUAUAUAUAUAUAUUAGAUGUACCAGGCUACGCUUAAAGCCGAUGUUUUCUAUCGAGCUAUAGUUUCUGAUCAGACACAAAGUCUGAACUAAAUAAAAUUUUAAACGGUUCACAAAGUCCGGGAAUCUUUUCAUGACCUGGUCUACAGUUUCACGCGUAUUAAAGAUCCGGCGGUGUCUGACAAAGCCUCGGGUGAUUGUUCAUAUCUGUCAUUUAAAAUAAAGUUAAUAAAUGUAAUUCUGUCCACUAUGGCAAAAUAGGAAUUUAUUUUAGAUUUAGGGGAAUCUUUAACCAUGUCUCUGAUUAAAACUUUUGAUUGUAACAUCACAAGUUAUUUAAUUAAAUAUUCCGUAUACGGGUAUAGUUUAAGCAAUGAUCUGAGCCAUAACCUUCGGAGCCGGCAAUACUAUAAUCUUUAGACGAAAGUCUAAACUAAAUACAAUUUUAAACGGUUCAUGAGGUCCGUGAAUCUUUUCAUGACCUGCUCUAUAGUUUCACGCAUAUUAAAGAUCCGUAGGUGCAUGACAAAGCGCCGGGUGAACGGUCAUAUCUGCCAUUUUAAAAUAAAGUUAAUAAAUGUAAUUCUGUCCACUAUGGCAAAAUAGGAUUUUAUUUUAGAUUUACGGGAAACUUUAACCAAGUCUCUGAUUAAGACAUGUGUAUACACAGAUGGUGACAGAGAAACUUAUAUAUGACGUUAAUAAUCUUUUAAAUGUUUUUAAGACGUAUUCACCCCAUUUUGGGGUUUUAUUUUUAAUUAAAGGCUUCUUAAAACAUGUGUGAAUAUGUGUAUAUUAUACAAAGAGUCUUAUAUUGUCUGCUCUGACAAAAAUAAAGUAUUUUUUUAGGUUUAGGGGAAUUGACUGCGUGUGUCUUAUAAAUACAACUUGAUAAUACGUUUGUUUUGUAAAGAGACUUCUUUAAAGUCACGCAAGAAUAAAAUAUUUUAGUUGUAACUGGUUAAACUUAAAGCCGAUAUUUUCUAUCGAACUAGUCUAUUUUCUGUUCAGACACAAAGUUUUCUGAUGCUGAUAUUAUGUCAGUGUGUGUUUGUGUGGGGGUCGUGUGAUGUAAUCUUUGAAAGUUUAUGACCGAACCUUUAUUGGGGAGCGACAAGAGAUCUCCCGGAAUCAGGUUGGAUGGAGCAGAGCUGUUAUACUCAAGUCUAUUGGUAUGUAUGUGUUUCGCUGUGUUCGUUCCAGUAUUUUGUAUGAUUUAUUUAAAAACUAAAAAUUCGAUCUCUGGUAUUGCAGCGAAAUUGUCUAAACUGGUAUUAACUAUUCCUGGUAAAUCGCGGAGAAGAGUGGCCUGAACAAAAAAGUCAGACCGAGACUAGAACCACCCGCAGCGUAACACGGAAAUCUUGGAACAAAAGAGACGCCGACUGGCUCGUGUUGUCCGGUUUGGAUAUCAGAGGCAAAACGAACGUUGUGUGUACUAUUGCAAAAUAUAUAGCGGAUCUCCACGGUUAGGAUACAGACCACAACGCUUUGGACGUAUCUUUAAAAAAGAGAAAAAUCGGAGACUUUUUGGAUUUGUCUGGGACAUUUUAAACAUUUUGUGGCAAAUUGGAUUUAAAACGUUUCGGAUACUGGAUACAUGUGUCGGAUUUGUCCACAGUGCUUGUUUAAGACGUCUUCACCUCAUUUUAGGGUUUAUUUUUAAUUAAAGGCUUCUUAAAACAUGUGUGAAAAUGUGUAUAUUAUACAAAGAGUCUUAUAUUGUCUGCUCUGACAAAAAAAAAUAAAUUAUUAUUUUAGAUUUUAGGACAAAUGUCUGCGUGUAUCUUAUAAAUACAACUUGAUAAUACGUUUGUUUUGUCAAGAGACUUUUUUAAAGUCACGCAAGAAUAAAAUAUUUUAGUUGUAACUGGUUAUACUUAAAUCUGUUAUUAUCUAUUUAACUAUAAGCUAUAAUUUUCUGAUAAGCCUUAAACAGAAGCUGCGCUGUGAGCGUCUGGGUGUUUGAGAUAAUUCACAUUAGGGGGCUGCUUGUAAACUAGUGUCUUUUAAAACCGCCGUGGUAAUAUGUAAUAUGGUAACUCUGUCAAAAAGUAAAAGGUUUAUUUUAGAUCACACCCUAUUUUAUGGCAAACAAUGCAGUAUCUAAAAGUUUGUAACAACACAAUUUUAUUUAAUGAAAUAUUCAGCAUGGGUAUAGCAAUGAACUGUGCCAAAACCACCGGGGGCCGCCAAUAACACAGUCUUUAGGUUAAGGCUUUUUAUUUUUAACUAAAUAAAAUCUUAAUCUUUUCAUGCACAAUAUUCUGUUCACACCAUUAGAUUGCGGUCCUGCGCUUGCAAUAGAGAACAUAAGCGGAUGCGUGUUCAUAUCCAUACGUUAAGAAAUCGUCCAUAUGUCAAUUCAUCUUCUGGGGUUUGUUUUAAAAAAAAAAAAUGACACAUUAAAAUCAACUGUGAAUAUGUGUUUAUUACACAAUAAAAUGUAAUUCUGUUCGCACCGGUAUAAUAGGGGUUUUAUUUUAGAUUUGGGACUUUCUUUAACCAAGUCUCUGAUUAAAACACGUGAAUGCGUGUACCAAA